GCGCUGGUGUAGCUCAGUGGUUACUUCGUACAGCAAAUCUCUUUGAUUAAGCAGUCAACUCCCUCCCCGGGAUCAAACCACGGGCGCUGUCCAGUGCUUUU
ensembl:misc_RNA Vault Vault RNA